GACGAACGCUGGCGGCGUGCCUAAUACAUGCAAGUAGAACGCUGAAGAGAGGAGCUUGCUCUUCUUGGAUGAGUUGCGAACGGGUGAGUAACGCGUAGGUAACCUGCCUUGUAGCGGGGGAUAACUAUUGGAAACGAUAGCUAAUACCGCGUAACAAUGGAUGACACAUGUCAUUUAUUUGAAAGGGGCAAUUGUUCCACUACAAGAUGGACCUGCGUUGUAUUAGCUAGUAGGUGAGGUAAUGGCUCACCUAGGCGACGAUACAUAGCCGACCUGAGAGGGUGAUCGGCCACACUGGGACUGAGACACGGCCCAGACGCCUACGGGAGGCAGCAGUAGGGAAUCUUCGGCAAUGGGGGCAACCCUGACCGAGCAACGCCGCGUGAGUGAAGAAGGUUUUCGGAUCGUAAAGCUCUGUUGUAAGUCAAGAACGGGUGUGAGAGUGGAAAGUUCACACUGUGACGGUAGCUUACCAGAAAGGGACGGCUAACUACGUG
rnacentral:rRNA from 1 species